AUUGAACGCUGGCGGCAGGCCUAACACAUGCCAGUCGAACGGUAACAGGAAGAAGCUUGCUUCUUUGCUGACGAGUGGCGGACGGGUGAGUAAUGUCUGGGAAACUGCCUGAUGGAGGGGGAUAACUACUGGAAACGGUAGCUAAUACCGCAUAACGUCGCAAGACCAAAGAGGGGGACCUUCGGGCCUCUUGCCAUCGGAUGUGCCCAGAUGGGAUUAGCUAGUAGGUGGGGUAACGGCUCGCCUAGGCGACGAUCCCUAGCUGGUCUGAGAGGAUGACCAGCCACACUGGAACUGAGACACGGUCCAGACUCCUACGGGAGGCAGCAGUGGGGAAUAUUGCACAAUGGGCGCAAGCCUGAUGCAGCCAUGCCGCGUGUAUGAAGAAGGCCUUCGGGUUGUAAAGUACUUUCAGCGGGGAGGAAGGGAGUAAAGUUAAUACCUUUGCUCAUUGACGUUACCCGCAGAAGAAGCACCGGCUAACUCCGUG
rnacentral:rRNA from 1 species